GUAUUACGACUCAUAUGAUGAUUGUGACAGGCGGUGGUCUUAUUGUGAUUUCUUUUUUAGAAGUGUUAAAAUAAAAGAGAGUUCCGAUGGUAAUGUGCUGUUCCACAGAGGCUCAACCAGUUAUACACAAGAUAGCCAAACAUACUACCCAUCUGUCACAGCAACAGUGGACCUUCCAUCCAACUUGAAUGUGUAUCUCUCCAUGGAGGUAUGGGACAAGGAUGUCAAAUAUGACGACCAUAUUAGAACCAUGAGCAAUAUGGCUCUCACAUUUGAAAACACCAUCAUUGGUCAUAGUUAUUCAACAACUUAUCGUAGUGGUGGUGGACAGUUAACAGUGUACUACAGACUGUUAAGUUGCAACCCUGGAUUCACUGGCACAGGCUGUGCUGAUUGCAUACUAAACUACUACGGGUCACAGUGUAGCACAUACUGUAAGCCUGUCAGUGGAAGCUACACCUGUGAUUCUAACGGAAGGAAGACCUGUGUUGGAAAGAAAGUGGGAUCCGAUUGUCAAGACUGCCAAUCUAACUACUAUCCAGAUGGUCAAUGCGACACAUUUUGUGACCCACAACCGGGAAUAUACACUUGUUCUUCUCUUGGACUAAGAGUACCAGUGAUUUGUUCGGCUGGAGACUACAUGACUGACACUGGAUGUCAGCAAUGUGGAGAGAAUACCUUCAGCAGCGAUAGAGCUUCUUCGUGCAUUGACUGUCCAAAUGGAAAGUUUUCGAAUGCUGGGUCAACAUCUGCCGAAAAUUGUUAUUACGCCCCAUGCUCCGCUGGAGACUACAUGACUGACACUGGAUGUCAGCAAUGUGGAGAGAAUACCUUCAGCAGCGAUAGAGCUUCUUCGUGCAUUGACUGUCCAAAUGGAAAGUUUUCGAAUGCUGGGUCAACAUCUGCCGAAAAUUGUUAUUACGCCCCAUGCUCCGCUGGAGACUACAUGACUGACACUGGAUGUCAGCAAUGUGGAGAGAAUACCUUCAGCAGCGAUAG